GUGAGUCAUCGAAUCUUUGAACGCACCUUGCGCUCCUUGGUAUUCCGAGGAGCAUGCCUGUUUGAGUGUCAUGAAAUUCUCAACCUCUCAAGCUUUUUUUAAGCAUGAUGAGGCUUGGACUUGGGGGUUGCUGGCCUUUAUCGGUCGGCUCCUCUUGAAUGCAUUAGCUGGACUUUUCUGAUCACAGAGUGGUUCACGGUGUGAUAAUUAUCUACGCCAUGGUAAGCCCAUCUCUGAGUUCUGGUCAAGCUCAUAAACCGUCUUAGGACACUUUUCAAAUCUGACCUCAAAUCAGGUAGG
rnacentral:misc_RNA from 1 species